UACGUAGGGGGCGAGCGUUGUCCGGAUUUAUUGGGCGUAAAGAGCUCGUAGGCGGCUUAGCAAGUCGGGUGUGAAAACUCCAGGCUCAACCUGGAGACGCCACUCGAGACUGCUAUGGCUAGAGUCCGGUAGGGGACCACGGAAUUCCUGGUGUAGCGGUGAAAUGCGCAGAGUAUCAGGAGGAACACCGGUGGCGAAGGCGGUGGUCUGGGCCGGCACUGACGCUGAGGAGCGAAAGCGUGGGGAGCAAACAGG
rnacentral:rRNA from 1 species